AAUAGCCUAACGGCUGAACCAGCAACUUGGAGGAAUGUAGAGGAAAACAUUUAUAUAUACUUAUGUUUUUCGGAAUGGUUUAUCCAUAUAUAGUUCUAGAUAUAUUAUUGAUAGUGACAGCUAUAUAUCUAUUAGUCUCGACUAAAUCACGUGCCAGCUGUCGCGGUAAUACGGGAGAGACAAGUGUUAUUCAUCUUUAUUUGGUAUAUAGGGUACCUAGACGGGUUUGAAAACUAUAAACAGAGAUAUUGAUCUUUUAUAUGUUAUUAACUUAUGUUUACGAUCAAAUUUCUGUGUAAUUAUAGAAAAAUAACCUAGAGUUUUAUACGGAAGGGAUAUAGUACUAACGGUGGAGAGAUGAAAUUCUUUGAUACUGUGGGGCACUGAUAAGGGCGAAGGCGAUCCUUUAUGUAAAAACUGACGUUGAGGGACGAAGGCUUGAGUAACAAACAGGAUUAGAUACCCUAAUAGUACAGGCAGACAAUUAUGAGUGCCAUAGAUUAGAUUUAUUUUGAUCUAUAAAUGAAAGUGUAAGCAUUCCACCUCAAGAGUAAUGUGGCAACGCAGGAACUGAAAUCAUUAGACCGUUUCUGAAACCAGUAGUGAAGUAUGUUGUUCAAUUCGAUGAUCCGCGAAAAACCUUACCACAAUUUGGAUAUAGUAUAUUUACAGGCGCUGCACGGCUGUUUUUAGUUAAUGUCGUGAGAUCUAGGUUCUAUCCGAUUAAUUAACGCAAACCCUUGUUUUAUUUAUAUAAAAUUAUAAAACAGUGUUAUCCUCUAAUUCGGAUAACCUAAAAGGGAUCAAGGCAAGCACUCGCGGC
rnacentral:rRNA from 1 species